GAUGAAGAACGCAGCGAAAUGCGAUACGUAAUGUGAAUUGCAGAAUUCAGUGAAUCAUCGAAUCUUUGAACGCACAUUGCACUCUCUGGUAUUCCGGAGAGUAUGCUUGUUUGAGUAUCUGUAAACAUCUCAAAUCUCUCUUCAAUUGCUUCAAUUGGGUCGAGAGAAUUGGAUUUGAGCGAUCCCGACUCCUUCGUCAGAAAGAGGAGGGUCGCUUGAAAUGCAGGUGCAGCUGGACAUUCUUCUGAGCAAAAAGCAUAUCUAUUUAGUCCCGUCAAACGGAUUAUUACUUUUGCUUCAGCUAAUAUAAAGGUUGAAUGAACUACCAACGCUGAUUGCAGGAAAACAUGUUCGUUUAUUCGGACUUGUAAACUCGAUCUCAAAUCAAGUAAGACUACCCGCUGAACUUAAGCAUAUCAAUAAGCGGAGA
rnacentral:misc_RNA from 1 species